rnacentral:rRNA from 1 species
UACGGGGGGGGCAAGCGUUGUUCGGAAUUACUGGGCGUAAAGGGCUCGUAGGCGGCCAACUAAGUCAGACGUGAAAUCCCUCGGCUUAACCGGGGAACUGCGUCUGAUACUGGAUGGCUUGAGGUUGGGAGAGGGAUGCGGAAUUCCAGGUGUAGCGGUGUAAUGCGUAGAUAUCUGGAGGAACACCGGUGGCGAAGGCGGCAUCCUGGACCAAUUCUGACGCUGAGUGAGCGAAAGCCAGGGGAGCAAACGGG